AUACCUAAAUAAAAAUUUAUCUCCUUAUAGAUUUUAGUGACUAUACUUAUGGGAUAGAUUAAAAUUGCCAUGAUCUGAAGAGGGAAGAUUUAUUUGUGUCCUCCUCCUAUAUGAAAUGGCCGAACAGAAAAAU